UGCGUAGGUGGCGUCGUAAGUCGGGUGUGAAAUCUCGGGGCUUAACUCCGAAACUGCAUUCGAUACUGCGGUGCUUGAGGACUGGAGAGGAGACUGGAAUUUACGGUGUAGCAGUGAAAUGCGUAGAGAUCGUAAGGAAGACCAGUGGCGAAGGCGGGUCUCUGGACAGUUCCUGACACUGAGGCACGAAGGCCAAGGAGCAAACG
rnacentral:rRNA from 1 species